rnacentral:rRNA from 1 species
CCUACGGGGGGCAGCAGUAGGGAAUAUUGCUCAAUGGGGGAAACCCUGAAGCAGCAACGCCGCGUGGAGGAUGACACUUUUCGGAGCGUAAACUCCUUUUGUUAGGGAAGAACAAUGACGGUACCUAACGAAUAAGCACCGGCUAACUCCGUGCCAGCAGCCGCGGUAAUACGGAGGGUGCAAGCGUUACUCGGAAUCACUGGGCGUAAAGGACGCGUAGGCGGAUUAUCAAGUCUCUUGUGAAAUCCUAUGGCUUAACCAUAGAACUGCUUGGGAAACUGAUAAUCUAGAGUGAGGGAGAGGCAGAUGGAAUUGGUGGUGUAGGGGUAAAAUCCGUAGAGAUCACCAGGAAUACCCAUUGCGAAGGCGAUCUGCUGGAACUCAACUGACGCUAAUGCGUGAAAGCGUGGGGAGCAAACAGGAUUAGAUACCCGGGUAGUC